rnacentral:rRNA from 1 species
CAGCGCCACAAGUGGCAAUCAUAUUUAUUGGGCCUAAAGCGUCCGUAGCCGGUUCAGUAAAUCUUUUGUGAAAUUGUCAAGCUCAACUUGACAACGUGCAGGAGACACUACUGGACUUGAAACCGGGAGGGGUCAGAAGUAUUUUUGGGGGAGCGGUAAAAUGUUAUAAUCCCAAAAAGACUACCUAUGGCGAAGGCAUCUGACCAGAACGGAUUUGACGGUGAGGGACGAAAGCUAGGGGAGCAAACCGGAUUAGAUACCCGAGUAGUCC